rnacentral:rRNA from 1 species
UACGGAGGAUGCGAGCGUUAUCCGGAUUUAUUGGGUUUAAAGGGUGCGUAGGCGGACUGUCAAGUCAGCGGUAAAAUUGAGAGGCUCAACCUCUUCCCGCCGUUGAAACUGGUGGUCUUGAGUGGAUGAGAAGUACGCGGAAUGCGUGGUGUAGCGGUGAAAUGCAUAGAUUUCACGCAGAACUCCGAUUGCGAAGGCAGCGUACCGGCAUCCAACUGACGCUGAGGCACGAAAGCGUGGGGAUCAAACAGG